GUACGUGGGAGCCCGCCGGGAACCACGUAGGGUUACAGGAGUUUAACUGGUGACCGGGCGACCCGCUUUGGGGUCUGCCCUCGUGAGGCGCACAUUCACUUCACUGUCCCCCUGUGACUGCCUAAGGCUGCCAGAUCCUGAAGGAGGGAGGAGGGGUGUGAAGCUUACUUUCCUGCCCUCCUCCUCAGUGUGCCCUUCUUUCUGUUCUUCGUCCAGAUGCUGUAAUUCCGUGCUUGGAAUCCUUGGCUCCUAUGAAGGCAAAUGUACACACACAGGAAAUACAGUGUUCUUGAGUUGCAUGCUGUGCUUCAGUAGCUGUCUUUUGUUCAGAACUUCAGCAUACUUGCAGAUCAUUUACCGUGUGUUUGAUAUACAAAACCAGCACAGGCUCUUUUUAAGCUGCCUCCAUGACUGGGUAGUACUAAAAACAGCCAACCUGACAAGAGCUGGCAUCUGCAAAUCUGCAAUGGCACUUCUCUCCAUGACACCCUCUGUAGGGAGGCCUUCCCCUUGACCUCCACAUAUCACAUCUCUAACUCCAGGAAGGCUACUGUUUGGAGGAAAAGGAUGCUGAUGACCCAGAAGAAGGUGUACUGAUCUUAACUGGCUUCCCCCUACAGUAGUGCAUAUUGCCUUAGAAUUCUAGAUGUUGAACAUGUACUGAACUGUAUUAGUCAUCAUCUCCACUUUGGUUUUGCAUCAGAAUAACAGCUAAUAUCUAUUUGAGAAUGAUACACUACUGAAAGAAUCUUACAACAUGACAGUUGGCCUGUAGUGACUUCAGCAUCUCAAAGACCAUAAAAGACUAUAUUAGAAGAGUGCCCUGAAUAUAGUAGGCACUUGAUGAACAUCUGAAAGCAAGGAUGAUUGAAUUAGUGGGGAAAAAAAAAAGAAGAAUGAAAGAAAAAGUUAAGGAGACAGAAUUUUCCUGUUGGAAGCGAGUUGGAAUAUUACAGUAUCACCAAUUUAAAAAGAAGACAAAACUGGGAGAAAAGCAGUUGAGCUUUUGCAAGCACCAUGAGGACAUGCCACAGUAUCCUGUGAUCCCAGGAAAAUGAAAGUCAUGUGAAGCAGAUAUAGACCAAGUUUACCGAAACUCCAUCUAGAGCAGCCGGUCCUCAACCACAAUACAGACAUAUUCUACUGAAGACCAAAUUAUAAAUGGUUAGAAGUUGCCAGGAGGAGACUUGAACUUUCAUCCCUAACAUAAAAAAGUAAAAUAAGGUACCAAUUCUACAGAUGGUGGAUCAGCAUCAUCCUGGUAAAAAAAGUAGAGGUAAUCAACUUGUGCAUUUUCAUUGAAAUGAGAUCCAAGGAGCUUGGUGCCAGCAAGGUCAUCACAACUCAAAAAAAGAACAGGAGAACAUUUCAGGUCACCGUGAGUCACAGAGGGCAAAUAGAACUUUGCAUAUAUCCUUACCAUAGCAAUGUAUCUAAUAAUUAUUGUCCCUAGAAUCCGUUUCAAUUCAAAACACUGCACUGAUCUCUGCAUGGAAAUCUAAUUAUUCUUCCCACUCAUAAAAAUAGGCUACUCUUGCUAUUUCUCUUGUCACUUUCAGUUCAUGCACAUGAAAAUAGAAUUUAAAUAACUGCAAUGCCAUUUGUUAAAUGAUGUCCUGGAAGAAUUAGUUUUUCUUUAAAAAGUGAAUACUACAAAGUUCUCUGUACCCAUUUUACUACGUAAGGAAGUUAUUUGCCAUUUGCUGAAUCAGAGAUGAGCUUUAUAAAAUAUGUAAUAUUUUUAUUUUAAUUAUUACUGCAUGAGUCACAGUUUUCAUAAAAAUCUGCCUUUAGUUUUAGCAGAAUUGGCAAAGCUAUAUAUUUUUAAAUGACUGAAUUUUCAUUUAGAAUCCUAUUAUUUUUACUAAAAGAUGAUUGUAUUAUUCAUCAAAACGAAAACAGAAAUUUUCAUAUGAAGAUAUGUGGAUUAUUUUAAAAACACUGUCUCAUUAUUUAACAUUAUUUGAGAUAAAGAAGAAUUAAAAGAAUAUAUUUCAGUAGGAAGAAUUAGAUGAUAAGAUGGAGGCAGUGGUGAAGUUAUGGUGCUUUGCUCUUGAAUUGUCAAGACAAAAAAUUGCAAAACUUAAAGACUUUAUGGGCUUAUAUAGAAAGCCAAAGCCUGUGCUUCUAAAAUACAACAAAUGUAAAACUAUUUACAGAACAUGAUUGUCUCUAAUUUUAUGAAAACUUCACCCUGGAAAAUGGGCCCAACUUACAUUUUACUUUCCAAGCACAAACUCUGGACCAUGAAUAUUUCAUAAUGUUUGACUCUGGGACCAUCGAAGCUAUGGAUUCUCAUUUGUUCUGAAUGUAUUCAGAGUACUCACCUAGUACAAGAAGUAUUGAUGCUCUAAAGUGUUAAAUAUUUUAAAGCAAUGUGAUUCCAUAUCAAUAUACCGGGAUGAUUUUCCUAGUGCUACUAGAUAUAGAGAUCCUUUACUCAUGAUUUACAAAUAAUAAUAAUAAGUGCUUAUGUGACAAAUUUUUAUAAAACAAUGGUGAAAUUUUAUGUUACACAGCAUCAGGUCUUUCAAUAGACAUACAGUUAAUAUGGUGAUCAUAGUAUGUGGACUCUUCAGCAUGUAAUGAUAAAAGAGUACUCAAGUCCUA